AAAGAGGAAGUGUAGAGCAAAGAUCCAAGGCCAAAGUCAGAGUUCAUUGAGGUAUGUCUCGGAAUUAUUCUGUUUUGUGCUUAAAACCUCCAUUAGAACACCUCUAAGGCUAGUUUAAUGUAUUUUCCAAGCUUUAUAGUUGUAUGGAUGCCUUGUUGGGUCGAGAUAUCCCUAGAUCUGUUCAUUUAGGAGUUUUAGAGCCCUGAUCUAGUGCCUUUUCGAAGUUUCUUUGCUUGAGAACCCUAGAUCUAGCCUUUAUUAUGCUUUUUGAGCCUUUUAAUCUUCAUGGGUGCAUAUGGGCACGUAAAGAUAGAAUCUUUACGUGUUAAUCGAGCUUAGGGAGCCCAGAUCUAUAAGUUUUAUGCGUUGGAUUCAAGCAGAAUCGAGUUUAUAGUAGCUGCAUGCAUGCGACUCGGCGAGUCGUUCUUCCGACUCGGUGAGUCGAGUCGUGAGUCCCCGAUUUUUCCUCUUUUGAGUAAUGCCGAGUGGGGACCAGUGAGUAGUAGAGUGGACUUAGUGAGCUGGAGGUCAGACUCAGUAAUGGAGGGACUCGACGAGUUGUUCAUACAACUCGGCGAGUCCAAGGCAAUCUUCUUAGCUCAAGAACAACUCGUCGAGUUGUUCAUACGACUCGGCGAGUCGGAUGCAGAUAGCUUGAGUUCUAGAAUCGAAAGGAAACUCGUCGAGUUUAUGCCAUACUCGACGAGUAGCAGCGAGUAGGGUUGAGAAGUGAGAAUAGGGACUAGGCGAGUUGGCGGCCCAACUCGGCGAGUCAGGUCAACUGUAGGUUGACUUUGACCAGGAGAGUUGACUUUGACCAGGGGUAAAAGAAUCAUUUUACCCCAAUACAGUGAUUAGUAUUUGAUUGAGUGUGUUUAUGGAAUUGUAGCCGGAGAGAUACCAGAGCAGCAGCAGAUAGCUUCCAGAGCCAUACAUUCAGCAGCCAGUUUACGAGGUGAGUUUCCUACCAGUAGGAACGGGUCUACGACAACAAUGCCGGCCCGUUUAGCUAGCAGUUAGUUCCGGACUUCGGUCCGAAGCAGUAGUUCAAGGUGCUUGAUGUUGUGUUUCGGGCAUGUCUAUGUGUUAUGUUAGCAGAUACGUGUUUAUGUUAUGCUAUGUUCAGACAGUUCCGGAUUUCGGUCCGAUGCAGCUAGUUCCGGACUCCGGUCCGAUGCAGGGGACAAGGUCCCAGUCAGUUCCGGAUUUCGGUCCGAUGCAGACAGUUUCGGACUUCGGUCCGAUGCAGUCAAUUCCAGACUUCGGUCCGAUGCAGUGGGCAAGGCCCAGUAUGUGCUUUAUUUGUUAUUGUGUGGUAUGCGGUAGUUUAGGGGAGCUCACUAAGCUUCGUGCUUACAGUUUCAGUUUUGGUUUCAGGUACUUCCGCAAGUAAAGGGAAGAACUCGGGAUGAUGCAUCGCACACACCACAACUUCAGUUUUUGUCGUGGGAGUUGAUUCAGUUUCUUAGAUAUGUUUUGAUACUGUUGUGACACAUUUUUUCUCACAGUAUUUUAUUAUGUGAUACUCAGUUUUAUGAUCUUUGUUAUAAUAUAAAUGAAAUUAUCGGGUCGUAUUUUUGGGAUGUUUCAAGUACCUUGUGCCACCGAUUAAAAAAAUUUUAAAAACCGAUUGAAAUAUAACUGAAAAAGACAUACAGCUUAACGAAAAACUAGUUGAUUAUUAGUCCAUUGAUAAAGCGGCGAACGCAGAGUGAGAGUCUUUGGCAUGUGGGCUUUCAUUUUAUUAGAACAACUUGUUUAUUUAUUAAUAUUUUGAGAGUGCCGAUUAAGAGUAGUUAACUUUUUAUUAUCAAUCUCAUAAUUUAAAAUAACAAAUUGUCCCUAAUAACUUAUAUUUUUCUCUUUUUAAAGUGGUUUUUUUUUUUAAAAAUAAAAAUAAAAAUAAACUCAAUGUAGGUUCUCUAUUUUUUUAAGACUAAAUUACACAGAUGGUCCCUGUGGUUGGCACGAGAGACCAAAGAUAGUCCUUAUGAGGAAUUUUGGACUUGUAUGGUCCCCGUGGUUCCAAAUUGUUGCACGAAGAGUCCUUAUGACAUACUCCGUUUAAUUGUUGUCGUUUAUUUAAAUCACGUAACCCUCACACGAGGGUAUUUUGGUCUUUUGCUUAUCCCUUCUCUCUCUCAUAUCUUUAUAUGAUCUGCAAAAGAUUUCCCUUCCCUAUAAAAAUUAAACCCCCAUCACUUCCUUCAUUAUUUUUCGUCUCCUCUAUUCUCUCUUCUCUCUUCUCUCUGCUGUGUCUUUCUAAGAAACUUUGCUUAAGAAUGGUAAAUUGUUUUUGUGGAACGCAAGCGGUGAUAGUGACAUCAUGGAUGGAUCUCAACCCAGGUUGUAUGUUUUGGAAAUGUCCUAGCAGUUGCGGUUUCAUUGCCUGGUUUGAUGAGCCGAUGUGUCGAAGGGUUGUGGCUGUCAUUCCAGGUUUGCUAAGAUCCAUGAACAAGCUUCAAGAAUCUCUGCUGCAAGCAAGUUUUGAAGCAAAAAAAGUGAAGAUGAUGCUAGUUUUUAGUUGGGUUUUCUUUUUCAUGUAUGUGUAUAAAAGAUGCUAAUAGUAUUAGUCUGGAGAUGAUGGUUCUUUUGCUUGUGGGUAGAUGAUGGUUCUUUUGCUUGUGGUUAGAAUCAGAUAAUAGUAUUAAUUUGAAGAUGAUUUCGUUUUGUUUGUUUGUGAUGCAAGAAAUGUUCGUAUGUAUGAAUGGAAUGCUUUUUAUUUGGGAAACUUUUAGUCUGCUACCAUUGUAAAAUAUUGGUCAGGAACUUAAUGAGUGUAAAAUAUUGGUCUGCAACUUAAUGAACCGUGCAGAUCCAUUAAAGUAUAAAAUAUGAAAGUGAAAGGUUUUUGUAGGCUUUAGACCAUUGUAGAGCCAUAACAACAUUAGAAAUGUUCAAAAAUAAAAUGCAAACUUUUGCAUAGUCAUAAAGUUCAUUACAUAACCUUAAAGUGCAAAGUCAUAAUACCAAAAAAAUAUCAAAAGAGCUUGCAGACUAAUGUAUCAUAACCAAAAGAACCAUCUUAGUCUAGCACCCUGUGUGAACCAUAAUACCAACAAAAGAUAAAGACACACAAUAACCAACUUAGUCUGACCUUUCUAAGGUACCAAAACAAACAACACAAAAGACCUUUCUAAGGUUCCAUAACAAACAACACAAAAGACAACAAAUCAAACUUUUUCCUUCAUUUUGGAUUUAUCCUUAAGUUUGGUUUUCUCCUUCAUUUUGGGUUUCUCCUUUUUUCCAUCUCCCUGCUUCUUUGCCUUGCUAAGCUUCUUGCCCCCUGCCACCACAUUUCUAACUUCAGUUUGUCCCCCUUGUCCCUUGCAACUCCUAGAGUUGUGACCCUUGUUAUUGCAUUUGCUACAAGUAACUGUAAGGAACUUCUUGGUCAAACUUUUACCUUGAUUAUUUGGUUCUUCAGUUUGAGCUCUCUUUCUCUUCUUUUUUGGUCUCCCCACCUGCAUAAUUAAUAAAUUAUAAAACAGUAUAAACGUAUACUAACUUGUAAAUUGAAAAUUAUUUACCUGUUUAGUAUGCUUAGGAGGUGUUAGUGUUAUGGGGAAAUCUGACUUUGGCCACAUACUUCUUCCAUUGAUAGGUUGAACUUUGUACUUGUACAUUUCAUUCCAUGUGCUUAACCUAUAACAUGGAUGUACCCACUCCUCAAGAGGUGGGACAUUUUUUCCCAGUGCCUGCAACUACAAUUCCUGUCCCUCCAAUUAACCACAAAUUGUUCCCCCAUUGUCCCAGUAACUUGAGUCUUAUCAGCACCAUUAAAUAUGCAAGUGUAUUGAGAAGCAUCUUUCUUAACUCCAUCUAAAAGUUUUGUGGCUGGGGGGGGGAGAGGGGCNUUAUCUAUCACAUUUUGCACAAUACAAAUUCGUUUCAUUAAGUAUUCCCUAAUAUAUUCUAAACAUGUAAUUAUAGGUUUGUCUCGAGCAUCUAACAACUUUGAGAUGAAAACUUCACAUAAAUUAUUCAACAAAAUAUCUGUAUGUGCUCUUCCUGUACAAUGCAACAAAAUAUCUUAUAAGAAUCUGUCAAAGUGUAAAUCUUCCUUGAAUCUGUCAAAGUGUCUAACUGUUGUUGCUGUUGCACAUUCCCAUAAAUGAUCUCUGUGCUCCUUCCCCCUCCAUUGUAGCUUCAUGUUUUCGUGAAUAUGUCUUAAACAGAACCUGUGUUCAGCGCUAGGUAAUAGGUUGGCAAUGGCAGAUAAAAUCCCCUAAUUAACAAGUAACAAAAAUGUUAUUUUCUAAAUGUAGUAGACAAAAUUACAAAGAUGUCAUGAACAAGUAUCAUAAGAAGAUUAACCUUUUGCCUGUCAGAAAUAAAUGUGAAGUUUGAAUUUGUAGAGAGCUCCAAAUCUUCACCUAGACACUCUAGAAACCAACUCCAUGAGCUUUUGUUCUCGGCUUCAACUAUGGCAUAUGCUAGUGGGUAGAUCCGAUUAUUGGAAUCAAGACCCACAACAGUGAGAACCUAUCCAGUGUAAGGUCCCUUCAUGAAAGCCCCAUCGAAACCUAAAAAAUCUCUUAAACCUGCCUUAAAACCCAGUUUUAAUGCACCUAAACAGACAUAAAUUCUCUUAAACAUCCUAGUUUCCAAGUCUGCAUUUGGUUCACUGUAUACAUCAAUCUUCACAAUUGUUCCUGGGUUGCACUGUUGUAAUUCUAAUACGUAAUCCCUGAGAAGGCUGUAUUGCUUUUGAUAAUCUCCAUAAACAUGUUUCUGUGCAAGUUGUUUAGCCCUAAAGACCUUCAUUCUUGACAUCCCCACCUCGUAUAUCUUUUGUAACUCUACACACAAAGCUUUGACUGGGAUAGUUGGGUUUCCUUCCACUUCUUGAAGAAUGAUGGUUGUAAGAAACUUAGGCCUCAUUUGAUAGUUGCCGAUUGAGAAAGUGCUGACUGAGAAAGGUCUGUCUGGGUAAGAAAUCCUGAUUGGGUAAGAAAUCCUGUUGUUUGAUUGUACAUCUGACUGAAUGUGCUGAGUGAUGAAAAAUGACCAUUUUACCCUGCUGUUAUAUAUAUAUAUUGAUGGAUUAAAUUGCUGAAUAAUUAUAAAAACAUACAUAUUGUCAUACAAAAUGUAAAUUACACACAAAUAAAAAAUGUCAUACAAAAUGUAAAUUAAACAUAAAUCAUUUAAUAUCCAAAUAAAAACAUAAUGAAAUUUAAAAUAACAUAAUAAUUUAAUGUAAAGUAGGUGAAAGUAGUCGAUUUGCAAUCUGAUCACGCAAAACACGCAUAUAUUCAACGGCUUCUGGACCCCAUUCUAUGCCUUGUAUGUUUUCUCUAUCAAUUCCCCCACCUUGGACGUCAGGAGUAACCAUAGUGUCCUCCUCAAAAUUUCUAAACAAGUCAUCUUCUAUAUUGUAUUUCCUUAUAAAAUUAUGGACCGCGACACAAGCAAUGACUAUGUCUCUUUGCACUGUAAAAGGAUAAGGAGCCAUUUGUUUUAAGAUUGGGAAUCUCGCCUUCAAUACACCAUAAGCACGCUCAAUAACAUUUCUAAGUUGUGCAUGAGCAUGAUUGAACCUUUCUUCUCUAGUUAAAGGUCUGCCUCUUCGAAAAUCGGCUAACCAAUACCUAGUAUUGCGGUAUGGAGCCAUAAACCCACGAGUGUUUGUAUAUGCGGCAUCACAAAGGUAAUAUUUAUCUGCAAACGAAUGUGACAUAUUAUAUAAUGACACAUAUUAUAUAAAGAAGAUAGAUAAUAAAAAUUAUAUAAAGAUUACAAACCUGGUGGAGGAAAUGGAAAUCCAGAAGUCGAAUUGAAUGCAACUUCUUUCAAAACUCUUGAAUCAUGUGCUAUACCCUCCCAUCCAGCCCAAACAAAGGUGAAUAUCAUAUCAAAAUCACAAAUUCCUAUUACAUUUUGAAAACAUUCUCCUUUUCCUCUUCCUCAAUAACGAGUUUGUUGAUCAACAGGUACAACCGCACGUACAAGAGUUCCAUCUAAUGCACCAAUUGCUCCGGAAAAAAUAUUUUUUAACCGUCUAUGUCGUUCUGAGUUAUGUCUUGUUGGGUUAGGAGUUGUUGGUACUAUAAUUUCUUUUGCAAAACACAUCAUUGCUGUUAGGACCUCGUGAAAACAUUGAUGAAUCGUUUGUGUGGAGUGAUGAAAUCUUCCCUUAACCGCGCGAAAACGUUCAUUAUGUCCUAUAACAUGUAAGAAGAUAGCCAUCUUCUCUUCAAUGCUUAUUGUCCUACUAGCUUGCAACCAAUUUUUUUGGGUAAAAUGGUUGCAUAGUAAUGCAAAUGCCUCUUGUGUAAGACGCAUCAUAUCGAAACAUUGUGUAGGGUCUCCGUAUAUCAAAUCUUAUGUAUACGCAUACCCGCUUGAAUCGUUAUCUCUAAUUCUAAGAAUUCUGAUUAGUCUGCGCCGGUUUGACCUCAACCAAUAAAACACAAGUAAAAGAAAAGCUACAACUUCACCAUCAGAAACCAUACUUGAUCUAUUACAAACAAUUAGGUAAUAUGUUAAAGUAAAAAAAAAAUCAUGCACCAAAAAAAUUAGUAAACAUCAUUAAAAGUAACAAAAGUCGUAUAACAAACGUUGUAUAACAAAAUACUAGUAAACAUCAUCCAAAAAAGUCAUCAAACUAUAUAACAGUAAACCAAAAAGUCAUCAAACAUAGGAUCCAAAAAACUAGUAAACAUCAUCCAAAAAAAGUCAUCAAACAUAGGAUCCAAAAAACUAGUAAACAUCAUAAAAAAAACUAGUAUCCAAACUUUUCUACCCGCACCUAUCAAAGGUAACUAUACUUCCUACCCGCACCCAUCACCCACGACUCACAACUACUAUGCGAAAGUCGUAACCAAACUUUUCGAACAUCAGCACUUUCACCAAAUAGCAAAAGAGCGGUCUUGUGUCUUUCAUCUUCUUCUCCCCAUUCCAUUUUGUUCAAUUUCUCCAUACACGCAUCAACAUCCUUAUCCAUUUCACUUUUUUCAAUUCUUUCAUUUUUUUUCCACUAAUAACCUUACAAUCUUGACAAUCUCCUCUUCAACUUCUAAUGCCCUUGCAUCUCUUUUUUUUCCACCAACUCUUUUGUUUCCACCAACUUCCUUAUUUUUGAACGCCCCGAAGAUUCUUCACUUGCACCUACGUGUUGUGUUGAGGUUUCCAUUAGAACAUCAUCAUCAAAAUCAUGGGGACUAAACUCUUCUACAGGACAAGGGAGUGUAGAAGAUGGCCCCCAACUUUGAGAUCCGGUUGAUGUCAACCCUUCAAAUAGUUGGGUGCAAAGAUCAGGGAACAAUAGGGGUUUAGUUUUCAAUGACAACACGAACUUGUUCAACUGUUUACAAUUUUUAUAAAUAUUAGUAUAUGUUAUAAAAAUAAUCAUAAUAGUAUUGAUUAAAAAAAUAAAUUUAAUCAAAUAGUAUAUGUUAUAAAAAUAAUCAUAAUAGUAUUGAUUAAAAAAAUAUUACCUUCCCCUCUUCUUUCCAUUGUUCAUCGGUCAAAUUAAAUUUAUUUUUUAUAGGAUCAUAUAUAUUGCCGGUUUUGUUUUUGAGUUUCACCCAAGCAACAUACUUUGAUUUGUAGUAGUCAAAGUGGUUUCUCAUUUGCUUCUGAUCAACCUCUUUACCGUGUUCGUUUAUCAAUUUUUCGCGUAUUGUCUUCCAUGAACUUGCCUUAAGCCCAGAACCCUCACGACCAUUAGUGGUUAGUUCAUGGAUACAUGCAUCAAGAAAAGUUUUGUCCUCACUCUCGUUCCAAACCAACAUCCUAAAACAUUAAUAUUUAAAGUAAUUUAUCAUAGUUUUUAUCAAGUUAAAGAACAAUUUUAAACAUAAAGCAAUUUUCAACCAAGGAAGUUAACAUCAUCCUAAAUUAUGAUUUGAUAACUUAUACACAAACAAUUUCAGAUGUCACAAAACAUCAAUAUUCAAGCUAACAAUUUCACAAAAGAUAACAAGCUAACAAUUAAGGUCAACAAUAUCAAAGCUAUAAAAUUAGAAAGAAAAAAAAAACAGCCCAAUUUUUGAUUUUAUAGCUUAUACUUUUGAUACUAAUACAAGCUCAAUAAUUGGAAGACAUGUGAUGUUGCAUGCAUUCCCCCUCUCGCCCACUCUUCAAGGAACAAUUGGAUUAUUAAAAAAGUUAGGUUACCAUUAAUCUUAUAAUAAUUAUUUAUUAUUAAUUUUACUUUUGUACUUUACACAUAAAAACACAACNAAAACCAAAAAAAUAAAAAAAAAAAAAAAAAAAAAAAAACAGCCCAAUUUUUGAUUUACAAACCUACUUGUAUUUUCCAAUUCACAUUCAAUUUCAAUUCACAAGCUAUAAAAUCAAAAUUCAAAAAAAAAACCUUCCAAUUCACUUUCAAUUUCAAUUCAUAAGCUAUAAAAUAUGAACCGGAGAAAAAAACUUCCAAUGUGAAUUGGAGAAAAAAACUUCAAAUUCAGAAAAAAAAACAAAAAAACAAAAACAAAAAACAACUACCAAUUCACAUUCUAUUUUAGAAUUCAUAACAUUAGAAAAAAAAACCUUCAAUUUUCAGUUCUUAUACACAAAGAACUACAAAACAAAACAUAAACAAACUUCCAAUUCACAUAUAAUUUCGAAAUUCAUAUAUUAGAACAAACAAUUUCAGAUUUCAGUUCUUGUACACAAAGAACUACAAAAAAGAACAAAAAAAGCUUAUCAUAUGAACAUACAGGUUGAGAAUUCAUAAUAUUCUAACAUAUACUAAUUUGAUUUCAUAAAGAACUACAAAUUUCAUACCAUCAAAGCAUAAAUGGUAUCUGAUUUUGAAAAUUAUUAACAGAAAAAUUAUCUAACCUGUGUGAUGGAUCGAGAAGGCGUCACUGAUGGCGGUGGCGGAGGUCCGACGAGAUGGCACAGGUCCGACUGGUCGGACUGUUUGGCGUUCAAUGUUGUGGAGUUCUUCCUAGCGGCUGCUGUGCUUUUAGGUCACUAGAAGGGAAGCGAAUGGGGAAAGAAAUAAUAACGACGCAGGGGCAAGAUAAGGGCAAGAUUGUCUAAUUUCCAGUCAGCAACUGUUUAAAAACUGAUCCAGAAAGCGAUUUGGGUCAGCAGAUCUUACCGAGAAAGCUCAAAUCAAACACCAAAGGUCUGACCGAGUCAGCCCAAUUUGCUGACUCGACCCAGUCAGACAUUUAUCAAACACUCCCUUAGAAGUGCACUCUUUAAUAGACCUUGACUGCACACAUCUAUGCUCAUGAACCAAAGUUUUCACCAUCCAAUCGCUUUCUUCAUCAGAUCUAGAAAUUAAUACCACCCAAGGGCAUGUUGCUUUUUGUGAGCUGACUGUUUUAUCCUUGCAUUUGAUUCUACUUUUUGUCCAUGGCCCACCUGUCAUUUUCGGGACCACACCCCUGCAUUUUGCCCUAAUUCUUUUUUUUUUAUCAUUUUUUGAAAAGUAAAUGUUUCUCCUAGUUCGAAUUGAAUGCAUUUUAAUGUAGUCCUUCACUUCUGAUGAGGACUUAAAUAUUUGACCCAGAUGGAAUGCAGUUUCAUGUACUACUCCUGAUGAACAUGUGGUUGGUUUGUUUAACCUUCUCAUUAAUUUCUUCCUCUCAUCUUCUUCUACACCAGUUGAUUCAAAUAAUUGUGUAUCUAUCACCUCCAAAUCCUCAUCAACUGUGACAUCAGGUGCAUUGAAUGAUUGGUGGUUAUCUAGAUUUGGAAAAGAAUAAACACCACUGUGGAAGUCUUUCAUAUUCACUUCGACAUCCUCCACCAUAUUAAGUUCAUCCACUAAAAAGUCACUAUCGUCGCUUAUACUUCCAUCGGUACUAGUCUCAUCACUAAUAACAUCUCCAAUUUCUUCAUUUUCCCCCAUCUGUUGGUAAUCAUUAUGAUCCAUAUAAAAGAAAGGAUCAAAGUCUUCUGAAGGGACAACAUCUUGGGCUUUGUUAAGCUCCUCACUUGCAGGAUGAACUCGAACAUCUUUCACUACAUCUCUAUCAAAAUGUCCAAAAGGUACAACAGACCUAGAAAAGUCAUAGUUCUCAUUCAAGUCCAUUUUUCUACUACAUGAUCCUACCUUUGUACUUGUAAACUUUUUUCGAUUGAGUUCCGGAGAAAUAGGCUCAUUGAUUUCUUCCGAUACGACCUUAUUUGGAGAUAUAAAGUAUGCAUGGAGUCUAGUAGUUCCAUGUUCAGUAUACACCAUAAUCUCUUUAUGAUUAGCAACAUGCUUACUUAACAAAAGUACGUCUGAGUUGUUACCUAAAGGAAGUAACCCAUAAUCGAUUUCAAUCUCAGGAAUCAAGAAGUGGUAGUAGAUAGGCUCACCGUUGAUAUAACCUAUCUCCUUCAUCAUAUCGUCUAACUCAUGUACGGAAAACACGUCCAUGUCUACGUAGUCAACAUAGUCAAUACUCCCACCAACGUAACGUCUUCCUGGGUAUUUUGUGAACAUACCCCCAUGGUGAAUCUUGAAUGUGCAAAAACUACUUAACUCAACUGAAAAACAAAUAAAUAAUGAUAUGAGGAAAGAAUGAAGUCUCAAAAUUGAAUGUGCAUAAAUUACUUAACAAAAUUGAAAGUUGUUAACUGAUCACUCACCAUAAGCUUUGAUCAGGUCAGGAUUUUCUGAGAAUUUUGAACGGACAUUCCACAAAGUUAGAACGAUCGCAAAAGAUGAAAAUGAAAACCCUAGUUUCCGUUUGAUGUUUUGAAGUGAUGAAGAUGAAAAACCAGAGGAGAAAAGAAAGGGAUGAUUUCUUGGGGUAAUGUAAAUGGCAGCUAGAUGUAAGGAUCAUUUAUGAAUAUGAUCAUUUCGUGUAACAAAGCAAAAGACCAAAAUACCCUCGUGUGAGGGUCACGUGAUUUAGAUAAACGGAAACAAUUAAACGGAGUAUGUCAUAAGGACUAUUCGUGCAACAAUUUGGAACCAUAGGGACCAUACUCGUCCAAAAUUCCUCAUAAGGACUAUCUUUGGUCUCUUGUGCCAACCACAGGGACCAUCUGUGUAAUUUUGUCUUUUUUUAAAGAUAGUUCAUAAUUUUUCUAUUAUAUACAUUGUAAAUGAAAUUGAGAACUUAAGUAGGUCCUAGGACCUACCUAAGCACAUGGUGGAUACGCCCCUGUUACCCACACUAACCUCAUACACUUACAACACAAAUGAACUUGAACGGUCUAAGACCAAACCAAGAUAUAAUAUGAAAUGUGUAAGUAUAGUUUAAUAGAUGAAAGUGAGGUGUUGUUUGGGCUUGAAAAGUAGGGGUGAGCAUGGUGCGAUUUUUUGAGAAAACCGAACCGCAAACCGCAAGAUGCGGUUUCUAUAGGGUAAAACCGAUAGGUGUGGUUUUUGUUUCGGCGUGGUUUUACAUGCAUUUUCGGUGUCAUUCGAUGCGGUUUCGGUUUUUAACUGAAAAUAUGUGUUGGUGUGAUUUUUCAUACAUGUGUUGAUCUACCAAAGAAGUAAUAACCCCUAAAGAAGCUAGAGCAAGGCCUAAUUGAAAAUGAAGCCAAUUAUUAAUUGUGUCAUAAAGACCCUCAUGCCCACGUCUCAAUCGCCCUCUUGGAGGGAUAUGUGCAUCUAAAAGAUCUUUCAUACUGUGCCCAAUCCCAAAAUUAGUUCUAUACAUAUGCCCAACAAUAAGAAAAAGAAAUGCAAUAGCUAAAUAAUGAUGAGUCAUAUCAGCAUGUCCAAACCCGACUUUUCAGUUAACUUUCCUUUAUUUCCGGUACAGAUUCUCAUUUAAAUGUAUUUAACAUGCUUGUGAAAUAGUUAUAUGUUAUUCUUAUCAAAAUAUAGACUUCUUUAUGAUAUUACGAUUUUGAGAUUUGAAUUAUAUGUUUGAUGCAACAAGGGAUUUGGUUUUAUAAUCUCAAAUUCCAUUACUUAAUCAUUAUUGUUUAUACAGAUAGAGGCGGCUUUUGAUUCGAAUUGCAUUUUGCUUGUGAUAAGCAAAAGGAAAAUUGUUAAUGGUACGCACUUUGAUACAAAUGUCAAAUUUUAUAAAAAUAUAGCAAAACAUAAGGCAUGCACAGUGGCAAAAAGAACUGAAGAGGUCGAAGUUGAACAAAAUAUACUUUUAUUAAUAAGUAUUAUAAUAUAUUAAAUAUUGUCAGGUUUUUAUGGUGCUGUUUGGCAUUGUCCAAACCGCACCACACCGAAAAAUUACCAAUUAAGGUUGGAUUGGAAUGCAUAAUUAUCAAUUUAUCCUUAAUAAGUCAUAAAUCAACAAAAAUGGCCCAACAAUUUUCUUAAUCUUAAUUGUUGCCUUUGGAUUAGAAAUCAUCAACGAUCAAGAUUGGUUCUCACAAUUCUCUAAUCUCUACUUUUAUGUUGUUUUCAUUUGAACUCAACCCAAAAAUCUCACCAGUAAUCACCACACGAACAAAUCCCGUUCUUGAAAUGAUGAAACCUAUUUGUAUCCCGAAGAAUAAUUUCCCGCUCAACAAUCUUGGAAAUAAGCUUAGCAGCAAUAUGACAAUCCUCACAAACACGUAGAUUUUUAGUAAUCCGUAUAGGCGUAAAAGCUUUAGUAUUUAUAAUCACAAACACAAUAGCAAGCUUCUCACUAUGAACAGCAAGAUGAUUUCCUUUAUCUUCAUCUUCUAUAUCAUGAAGUGCAGAAUCCACUUCAGGAACAUACCCAAAAUCCCUCAUCUUCCCCACAAGUACUUCCAACUCUUGAUAAAUCUGUUUAGAUUGUGGAUGGGAUUGAUCUCCAGCAAGAAACGAAUGAACUUGAUUAUUAAGCUCAACAUUACUAACACCGGGCUCUUUUUUCACUCCUUUUGAUUUCAUUAUUGAACGAAUAUUUGUCACAUCUUUAAAUCUACCUGCUUUUGCGUAUAUAUUUGAUAAUAAAACAUAAUACCCUGCUUGUUCAGGGACCAAUUCAAAGAGAUGAUCUGCUGCUACAAGACCAAUUUCCAUGUUGGAAUGAACUUUACAAGCACUUAACAAAGCACCCCAGAUUCUAUCGUUUGGUUUUGUUUUCAUUUUCUUUAUAAAAUCAUAAGCUUCAUUGAUUCUUCCUGAUCUUCCUAGCAAAUCAACCAUGCACGCCAAGUGUUCGAGUCUUGGAAUGAUGUUAUACUCUUCGGUCAUCAAUUUGAAGAAAUGUUUUCCUUGGUUUAGUAAUCCGGCAUGGCUGCAGGCUGAUAGAACUGGAACGAAGGAAAUGGAAUCAGGGGCGAUUCCGGAAUUUUGCAUAUUUGAAAAGACUGUGAUAGCAGUUUCACCAUCUCCAGUCAUGCCAUAAGCAGAGACCAUGGAAGUCCAGGAGACGACAUCUCUUGUUGGCAUUUCAUCGAACACCUUGCGUGCUUCGUUUAAAGACCCACAUUUAGCAUACAUGUCAAUCAAGGCGUUCUCUACUGUUAGAUUAGGAAGAAGCCUUUUUGUUUUUACAUAUGAAUGAAUCUUUCUUCCUAGUAAUAAAGCUGAAAGAUCUCCACAAGCGGGUAGGAUGCUAGCAACUGUGAUUGAAUCCGGGUCGAUUCCGUAAUUCUCCAUUUGUUGAUAAAGAUUAACUGCAUCUUUAGGCAUCGAGUUGUUGACGUACACAGCUAUCAUGACAUUCCAAGAAAUUAAACUCUCUCGAGCGUGAUUCAUGAACAUUUCUUUCAUAAACAUCACGUUGGUAGAUGAAGUAGAAGUUGUUAAAGCAGGGGAAAGGCUGGCCAUGGUGCCUGCGUUGGGUUUUGAGGUAGAACAUUGCAUCAUUGUCUUACAAAUCUCCAAUGCAUCUUCAAACAUCCGGUUUUGGGCGUAGGCAGCAACCAUAGCAUUCCAGGAGACGAUAUCUCUACUAGGCAUUUCAUCAAACACCUGGCGUCCUUCCAGUAACCGGUUACAUUUUCCAUACAUUGUAAUCAAUCCAUUCCCUACAUAAAGAUUUGAAUGCAGACCCUUCUUGAGAACAGCAACAUGGGUUUGUAAUCCGACCCACAAAUUCUCAGACACGGAACAUGCUUUUAGAACUUGAGGAACUGUAAAAUGAUCAGGGUUAAUGUUGAACUUGAACAUGUUUCUGUACAUACGAAGUGCUUUUUCGUAGAAUUCAUUGUUUACGUAGCUUCUAAUCAUCACAUUGAAGAAGACUACAUCUUUUUGAGGAAAUUCAUCAAACAGUUGGCGGGUAACUGCGAUUUGGCGACAUUCAGAAUAAGCUUUCAUUAAUUUCAGAGCAAUAUGCGAUGCUGAGACGAGGUUUCCAUCAAUAAUUAACCUACAAUGUAUCUUUUUCAAUUGUUUGAUAUCUGGGCACUUGUCCAAGAUUUUGAUACACAAGUCUUCUGUGAUUAACAUGAUUGUUAAGGCGAGAUUUGAAUGAAUUUGAACUUAUAUUCCUUUCGCCAUGUUGUACCUGAGGGGCAAUCAAAUAGAAUGGACGAAGAUAACGAAGGUUUACUUGGUGGUGUUCACUUAAAAACAAGAAAUAUGAAGUUCUAAACGCUAUUUCUUGUUAAACAGAAAAUAUUUUGUCCAAUCUAAAAAUCCAAUUUUUGAGUAAGUUCAAGCUUAAGCUCAAAAAUAGUAAGCAAAACAUGUUUAAAAAAUAAAAGUUCGUUUGAAACUCUUUGGAUAGCUCGAGUAUAACAAUCAUCAUAAUUAUAGUCAAUAAAUCAGGCUCAAACAACCAAACUUGAUGUCCAGCCCUUGAUCAUCCAAUUGCCAACUGAAAUCAACUUAGUUUCCGGUUUUAGAAUCGCCCUAACAUUACAUAAGCACCAACUAGUUCCAAAAGUAGUUUUUAAUUCAAUGUCUCCCAUACCCGUGACUUCAAGGGUUUCCAUGUUACCCAACCUUACCAACUUAAGAUAAGUUCUUUACUUCAAUUACUAUAACAGAUCGAUGAGUCAUGUUCUAAUGACCUCUCGUCAUAUGAUGCAAUGCUUAGACUCGAGUCUUUUAAAGUCAAAUUCUAUAAUGAAAUAUACAUUCCUUCAAGUUUCUAAUGUGAUAUAAUCACAUUCUAGCAUGUAUCACUUCUAGCUACAAGCUUCUUACUUUAACAACAAUCACAAUACUUCUAUUGAUCGCUUUGAUUAUCUUUCAGUUCAAUCUUCUGGCUUAAGUCAGAUGCUACAUCGAUCUUGGUUCUCUGAACCACGUACAAUACUUAUCCUAGCUGUAAUCGAUUUGAUAUGACCACUAGGGUCGGAAUAACAAUCAUCUUCUUAGUCAUUACCGAAAUUAUGGUAAUGACACAUGAACAAAACAGAAUCAAUUACUAGCGUCUUGGUAACUCGUGACUUUCCCUGAUCCAAGUGCGAGUCGUGUGCUUCCAGUAGUAUAUGCCUCUACUACCUUUCACACCUACUCAUACUUGUCCCAAGUAUUGUCUUUCAGUUCUCCAAGUCACCAUAAAAGAAUUUCACAUAGUCAUUUAACACAUCGAAUAACAAAACUAAGGUUUAUAUUAUUUCUUGAAACGAUUACAUAGAUAUUCAAGUUCACCUUAUACCAUGCCUUUUAUAUUAGGCUACACCACAUGAUACUAUCUAUAUGGCUACUUUAUAUCUCGAUCUUCAGAUAUAUAUAGAUCCCUACUCCUAAUCCCUUGUAUCGUCACCUGCUUCAUCCAGGUUAGACUUCGAGAAUCUUCCUUUCUUAUCGAAUCUUGAGGAUCCCUCAAGCUUCUUCUUUUCUCAUGCCUUGUCUUAUUCCAGACCCUUUUUCCUAAAUUAGGUUUCCAUAUUCUUGGUUGCUCUAACGGUUGUCUUCAAAGUAGUUGCCAUUUUUACCAUUGCGCCAAAUUAUGCUGGCAAUCCGUUAGCAAAACUAUCUAUCUUGGAGAGUUCAGUAGCACCAAGUAGGGGAAUAACUUCAUCUGCUCGGUGAAUACGGUGACAUACUCAUCAACACUCAUCUUCCUUUUCUUCAAGUUCGAAACUCGUUGUUUAGGUCUAUCAGAUCUAUCUCUGAGCAGUAUUGCAUUUUCAACUGCUCCAUGAAUGCUUCCCACCUCAGGGCUUCUCCCCCAUGGCUUUGUAUCUGCCAAUAACUUCCACCAACUUAAAACUCUGGUCUUUAGUUGUCUGACUGUAAAGACGGUUUUCUGCUUGUUGCUGCAAUUGCAACUUUCAAAUGUCAUCUCUAUCUCGGAGAUCCAAUCCAUGAUCUCUACUGGCUUCGGGCUUCCAGAAAGACUUGGUGGUUUGGCACCUAAGAAGUUCUUAUACAUACGUUCAUCCUUAUCAAUCGCUUUUUUCGGGUCGUUCCUCCUUGCCACUCGGGGUUCAGCUUGACUCACUGUACGACUGUAAUUUCCCUCCUCCGACAAUUCUUCAUUCAGUUCGGGUUGCACGAUAGGCACAAUAGGUUCAUCCCUAUUAUCAAGAAACAUUUUUCUCAUCUCCUCCCUUUGUUCGGCCAUCAUAGCCCAAAUCAUUGCUUAGACUCUUGCCAUCGUGAUUGGCUCGGGUGCAGCUACUACCUCUGGUGCACAUUUAAUCACUCGUGGUUCAGGCUGUUAGUUUUCAUUAGCAUUUUCUAAUAUGUUGCGAGUUCUCACCAUUUCGAUCUAUACACUCUAGAGAUGUUCAGUGUACAGUGACGAGAAUUAAGAUAUGGAAAGCUUUAUUUACGACAGCCAUAUAAAUCUUCUUAUCACUCGUAAAAGUUAUAUACUAGUUCUAAUACCGUAAUUAAAUGUUUGGAAAUUUUGAGCAAAUGACGGUUCAUCAACAAUAGAGCGAAUCUCAUUUAGGAAUUCGUUGAUAGGUCGAUUUCCUUUAGGAUUUUUAGCAAGUUUGGAUUUUAAAGAGAUGAUUCUUGAGCAGGAGGUGCUGGCAUAGCUUGUGUUGAGAUGCUUUCAUGCUUCUUUUGUGGUAAAUACAGAGGUAAUGAUAGGUUGAAUGAAUUGCAUCUGAGCAUGAACCAAGAAUUGCAUCGAAUACUACAUGAUCUUGGCGAUAGCAAGUCGUGUAUUCAUGAUUAGGUUUGGAUUUGUCUUUGUCGAUAAUGAAUUUUGUGGUAGGAUCAGUCACCCAUGUGAUGUAAUCUUCCAGACCUAGUCCAAUAAAUGUGGACUGCACUUGUCGCCUCCAUACAUGGAAGUUGUUGGUGAGUAAUUUGGUAGGAAAGUGACUUGAGGCGGUGAUUUGUAUUUGGGAUGAUUGUGUCAUGGUGAUGUUGAUGAAAAGGAUUAGAGGAGAAAGGCAAGAUGAUCGAUUGACUCUUUAGAGUGUGUGUGCUCUGAUACGAUAUGAGAUUUGAGAAUCAAUGGGCUCGAAUGAAUAAUUUCAUUUACAAAGAUCGAUACAUAUAUAGAUGGUAACGAGAGUUAAAGAGCUAUACAUGGAAUUUACUAAGAAUAGAUUGCAAUUACAUACAAAUAGAAGAGAUUAUUGUAGAUUAGUCAUGAAGAUGUGUACGAUGUUAUAGUUAGAUUGCUUAUUUGCAAUCCAUGUUAGCUAAGUAUGUCAUGUUGAAUACAAAUUGUAUUAAAACAUUAAAGUUCCAACCAUUAUAUGUUGAAGAAGAAGCAAAUACGCCUUAGUCACACCCAUUCUAAAUGAUAUGGAUGUUAUGGUUGUCGUUUCUAUGCAACCAAAUCGUGAUUCCAAGUUGCAGUUGUCUUACCAAUAUAUCAUGUUAGGAAAAGAUGACAUAGCAUGAAAUAUUGUAUGUUACAACAAAAAGAUAUAUCUUAUAGAUGUCUUGCACAUGGGUUAUUCCUUUUUAAGCACUUAUAUAAAAAUAAUAUCACGUAUGUAUGAUAUCUAUUUUGAGAGAUUUUUAGCAAGCAACUCUUUGUCUAUUAUUGUUAUUGGAUAGAAAAAGUAUCAUCUUCGUUGGGAAGAUUUUACUAGGAUUAGAUUCAUAAUAGUUUGUCAAAGAUUUUACUAUUAUGUAUUUAUAAACCCAUGAAGUUUUCUAUUAAAUAAAUAAAUAAAUAACCAUUCACCAUUUAUAUCUUUUUGGAAUAGAGUUUGUUAAAUUCUAAUAUAAAUAAAAAGAGUAUUUAUUUAGAUUCACACAUUACAAAAUUACAAACUCCAAGCAUAAAUCCGAAACUUAUUUUUAAACUUCUUCAUUUAUAUUACAAGUUUUAUUCUUUUUUCCCAACCCACUUGGGGUUUCGAAACCCUAAAAAAGUUCUAUCCAUGGAAGUUCAUAUUUAUUUCUUAUCUUAAUGAAUUUAAGGUCUAAAUCAAUAAAUGGCAAUGUAGAAUUAACCGCAUAUAUUAAGUUAUUUUUGGAAGCUUUCCAACACAACACAGAAAGGAAAUGAUGAGAAUUUAUGGUACCAAAUAACAAAAUAAUCCCGGUUCCUAUAAAAAUUUAUUAAAGCUCUACUCAUGAUUUCAUAAUCUCCUCUAAUAUGAGGGUUACGUUAUUGUAAUAAUAACUAUGAUAAUGUAAAAGCCAUAACAUAAAUCGUCUUAAUUUAAGAAAUAAUAUAAAUCCCAAGAUAUUGUUUUUAAAAUAAAAAGGAAAAAAGUGGGAGUCCAUUAGAAGGAGCCAAGCUGAUUAUUUGAGCCAAGAGAGCACCGAUUUGUUAUCCUUCCACUGUUCGAAGCGAGAGGUUAUCGCAGCUCUGUGAAGCCAGCCUAACGCAUUGCCCUCUGCUCUAGGAACCAAGAAGCCCAAGCCUUCGCUCAAGCCACUUGAUCCAACUCCGAACUUGGAACGGGCAAACCAGAUUUUGCAACAGCUUUGACCCAACCAAACAAGGCUCGAUCUCAGUCCAUCCCACUUUAGAGCCCUCACUUGAGUCACAAGCUCGCGUUACCAAGCUCGGCGAUAAACGAAGUCCAUUUGAUGUAUAAAUAAUCGGAAAAACUUUCUCCUCCAAGCGAUGUGGGAUGCGAAACGAAAUAUUUUCAUCUUCAUUCUCUCUUUAUCUCUGUCAAAUACUGUGAUUACUGAUUACUGACUACUUAAACACCCAUGCAACGGAUUUCAAGUAUUUUUUUCAAUCCAUGGAUUUAGAACUGUAAACU
rnacentral:lncRNA from 1 species